GACGAACGCUGGCGGCGUGCUUAACACAUGCAAGUCGAACGGAAAGGCCCUGCUUUUGUGGGGUGCUCGAGUGGCGAACGGGUGAGUAACACGUGAGUAACCUGCCCUUGACUUUGGGAUAACUUCAGGAAACUGGGGCUAAUACCGGAUAGGAGCUCCUGCUGCAUGGUGGGGGUCGGAAAGUUUCGGCGGUUGGGGAUGGACUCGCGGCUUAUCAGCUUGUUGGUGGGGUAGUGGCUUACCAAGGCUUUGACGGGUAGCCGGCCUGAGAGGGUGACCGGCCACAUUGGGACUGAGAUACGGACCAGACUCCUACGGGAGGCAGCAGUGGGGAAUAUUGCACAAUGGGCGGAAGCCUGAUGCAGCAACGCCGCGUGCGGGAUGACGGCCUUCGGGUUGUAAACCGCUUUCGCCUGUGACGAAGCGUGAGUGACGGUAAUGGGUAAAGAAGCACCGGCUAACUACGUG
rnacentral:rRNA from 1 species